ACUUCAGCAAAAUCAAAUCUUCCUUAGGACUCAGCAAAAGGCAGUGGCAGUGGAUGCAGUGCAGUGGACUCUUCAUGAAACUUAUCCUGCCUUACCCAUCUUCUCCUCAACCCACAGUGUGCUUGCCAAUGCAUCAUUUGCUCAACUAAUUGGAUUGUGAAUAAAGUCACAAAACCGCA